GCCCCGUUGGCGGAACUGGUAGACGCGCUCGGCUCAAACCCGAGUUCCCUACGGAGUGAGGGUUCGAUUCCCUCAUGGGGCACGA
rnacentral:tRNA from 2 species